rnacentral:rRNA from 1 species
UCCGUAGGGGGCACGCGUUGUCCGGAUUUAUUGGGCGUAAAGAGCGUGUAGGCGGCCAGACAGGUCCGUUGUGAAAACUCGAGGCUCAACCUCGAGACGCCGAUGGAAACCGUCUGGCUAGAGUCCGGAAGAGGAGAGUGGAAUUCCUGGUGUAGCGGUGGAAUGCGCAGAUAUCAGGAAGAACACCAAGGGCGAAAGCAGCUCUCUGGGACGGUACUGACGCUGAGACGCGAAAGCGUGGGGAGCGAACAGG